rnacentral:rRNA from 1 species
GACGAACGCUGGCGGUGUGCUUAAUGAAUGCGAGUCGAGCGAGAACCGGACUGAGGAAACCUUCGGGUGGAAUCAGUCUGGGGAGAGCGGCAAACGGGUGAGUAACACGUGGGUAACCUGCCCCUCAGACGGGGAUAAUUCGCCGAAAGGCGGACUAAUACCCGAUGGUGAUGUGCCAACACAUGUUGAUACAUCUAAAGGCUCCGGUGCUGAGGGAGGGGUCCGCGGCCGAUUAGCUUGUUGGUAGGGUAACGGCCUACCAAGGCUUCGAUCGGUAGCCGGUCUGAGAGGAUGACCGGUCACACUGGGACUGAGGCAUGGUCCAGACUCCUACGGGAGUUAGCAUCAGGGAAUCUUGCGCAAUGGGCGAAAGCGUGACGCAGCGACGCCGCGUGGGUGAUGAAGGCCUGCGGGUCGUAAAGCCCUGUCGGGAGGGAAGAAACAGCACCUUCGGGUGCUUUGACUGUACCUCCGGAGGAAGCCCCGGCUAAUUACGUGCCAGCAGCCGCGGUAAUACGUAAGGGGCCAGCGUUGUCCGGAAUUACUGGGCGUAAAGAGCACGUAGGCGGUUAGGAAAGCGAUAGGUGAAAUCCCCCGGCUCAACCGAGGAACUGCUUAUCGAACUGCCUGACUAGAGCACGGGAGAGGGCACUGGAAUUCCUGGUGUAGCGGUGGAAUGCGUAUAUAUCAGGAGGAACACCGGUGGCGAAGGCUGGUGCCUGGAACGUUGCUGACGCUAAGGUGCGAAAGCCAGGGGAACAAACGGGAUUAGAUACCCCGGUAGUCCUGGCCGUAAACGAUGGACACUAGGUGUUGGAGGUUCGACCCCUUCAGUGCUGUUAAGCUAACGCGUUAAGUGUCCCGCCUGGGGAGUACGGUCGCAAGGCUGAAACUCAAAGGAAUUGACGGGGGCCCGCACAAGCGGUGGAGCAUGUGGGUCAAUGGGAUGAUACGCCGAGAACCUUACCAGGGCUUGACAUGACCCUGAUCCCCUGCGAAAGCAGGUCUUCUGGGCAACCAGACAGGGCCACAGGUGGUGCAUGGUUGUCGACAGCUCGUGUCGCGAGAUGUUGGGUUAAGUCCCGCAACGAGCGCAACCCUCGCCGGAUGUUGCCAGCGGUUAGGCCGGGCACUCUUCCGGGACUGCCGGAGUAAUCCGGAGGAAGGGGGGGAUGACGUCAAAUCUGCAUGCCCCUUAUGUCCUGGGCUGCACACGUGCUACAAUGGCGAGUACAAAGGGUCGCGAAGCCGCGAGGCCCAGCUAAUCCCCAAAAACUCGUCCCAGUUCGGAUUGGAGUCUGCAACUCGACUCCAUGAAGUCGGAAUCGCUAGUAACCGUGGAUCAGCAAUGCCGCGGUGAAUACGUUCCCGGGCCUUGUACACACCGCCCGUCAAGUCACGGAAGCCGACAGCACCCCAAGUCCGCUACGGCGGCCCAAGGUGAGGUCAGUGACUGGG